AGUCUCACAUGCACGCGCACCUCGUCCCGUAUCUCUGUGUUCUCAAUAUUCUUCUACCAAACAGAGAUGAUGAUCCGGAUCAGACCCGGAGACCCGGACCUGAUGAUGAUGAUGAAGGAGUGAGCUGGUCGCUCAUUGGCUGCCGUGUAGAGACACGCGCUGUUGACAGAGGAAGGAGGAAGGAGAGGAGGAGGAGGAGUGAGAGUUUGUUUUUCUCUGUAGAAGAAGAAGAAGAAAGUUCCCGCCGCGGCUCACGCUCCUGACGGACUGACAGCCGAACCGGACCAGGACCAGCGGGAGAACGAGUCCGAGAACUUCCGCUCAAACUUUUUACUGAAACUGUGCGCGCUCCCGCGGCUCGGGGCUGCUCCGGGACUGACGCGCAUGCGCGGCUGUUGUGUUUUUCUGUGUGUGGAUAAUGGACCGAUUGUGACACCGGGCUCGGUGGUGACGUCACUGGAGGGAGAAGAGCGGGGAGGAGGAGGGGGGUCGCUGAUCCAGAUCAGGAGCGGGAGCGCGCGCCUCAGCUGAGAACAGGAACUGAGUCAGUAGUGUGUGUGUGUGUGUGUGUGUGUGUGUGUGUGUGUGUGUGUGUGAGGAUGAGUGGAGGUAAAAAGAGGAGUGGCUUCCAGAUCACCAGCGUGACCUCAGACUUACACCAAACUCCGUCUGGCCAAUCAGCUCCCAGUGUGGUCACAACCAUCGUCCAAUCAGAGGCCUCCUCCUCCUGCAGCCCUCAGGGAAGCUCCUCCCAGCCGACCACGCCCUCUCUGAAGAGGAAAUACGUCUCCCAUGAUGCCGCGGGGCAGGGAGUGGGGUCUUCCUCCAGGUUCAGGGUGGUAAGGCUGGCGGUGGGCGGGGCCAGUGGCGGUGGGCGGGGCGAGCCGUAUCGCCGUGGGCGGUGGACGUGCACAGACUUUAUGGAGCGACAGGAAGGGGCGGGGUUCAGGCGGGUGAUGGACAGCAUGAGACACGCCCACUCUCUGGAGUCCCUGGAGAUGAUUGGCCGAGACAGAGACAGAGGCGGGGUCCACUCCCAGGACCUGCUGGCUCAGGGGGCAGGGCUCGUGCUCCGCAGUGGGCCGCCCUCCCCAACGCACCGAGAGCCAAUUAACAUCUGGCUGCUGGACCGAAAACAGCCAAUGGGAGCGCAGGGUUUGGACUCCACCCCUCCACCACCUUCACUUUGCCCACGAAACGUCCCUCCUCCUCUACGAUUGGACGUCGAUGCUACAGGACGGUCUGUCCUCAGACUGUCUCACUCUCAGCCCAGCUCCCCCCCUGCUGGAUCGUACCAUCCCUCCCUGACCCCCGUUCAGACUCCAGCAGCCUUCAGUCUGGACCAGACCAUCUUCAACCUGCCGGGGGACGACAGAAAACACUGAGCUUCAGUUUGGAGUCGACAUCUGGACGUCCCGAGACCGCUGCUUCUGAUUGGACGAGGUCUCUGGACCUGUGAGGUCACAGAGAGCUGAGCCAAUCACAGAUCAUCUGGAGGAAAGGUUUUACUCUGAGUCCACGUCCUGUUAAUGGAGGACAAGAGUUUAAUGAGACAGAAGACGAGGGACAACAGGAAGUCUGGACCGGAACCAGGACACGUUAACGUUUAAUUUAUUUCUAUUUGGAUGUUCUGACUCUGUGAUUGGUCGGUUUGUUCUGUCAGUCUGCAGCUGAGCUCUGAUUGGUCGGUCAUGUGUGAGGGACAGCUGUGAUUGGUGGGAAAUGUUCGGUGGUGUAAAGAAAAUGAUGUCAAGGCGUCACCAGUCGCCCUCUGCCGUCCCUGACUCCGCCCCCCAGCCUCGACCUCAGCGCCGUCCUCUGUCGACCCCGCCCCUCCCUCUCAGGACUCUGCAGCUUGUUGCUAAGCAACCAGAGGCACCUGUUGUGUUACGGGAUCGUAGAAAAGUCAGAGGUCAGGGGUCAGGGGUCAGGGAGUCUUGGCCGGGCACCAGGCCGACGACCUCCGAACCCAAACUCAGGACGAGUCACAGGUUGGUGACUCCGCCCUCCAGGGCUCAGCCAGUCACAGAGGUCCAGACCAGGAGCAGAAACCAAUCACACGCGACCCCAUCAGCCCCGCCCCCGGCCCAGAAUCCCCUGCUGCCUGCCACUCCUCACCCUCAUUGGUCAGUCCCUGUCAGAGCUCCGCCCACUGGGCGGGGCUCAGAGGCCACGAUGAUGUCACUGCUGCUGUUCUGCCACAGUGCCUCCAGUAACAGUCUGAUCGCCAUCGACAACAAAAUCGAGCAGGCCAUGGACCUGGUGAAGAGUCACCUGAUGCUGGCGGUCAGAGAGGAGGUGGAGCUGCUCAGAGAACAGAUCAGAGAUCUGCAGGAAAAGAA